rnacentral:RNase_P_RNA from 1 species
CGGGCCGGCCGGGCGAUCGCGUCAUCCGAGGGAGACCGAGGGUGCCGAGGAAAGUCCGGGCUCCACAGGGCAGGGUGGUGGGUAACACCCACCCGGGGUGACCCGCGGGACAGUGCCACAGAGAACAGACCGCCGCUCCUCGGAGCGGUAAGGGUGAAACGGUGGUGCAAGAGACCACCAGUGAUCCAGGCGACUGGAGCAGCUCGGUAAACCCCACCCGGAGCAAGGUCAAGAAGCCACUCGCUCGCGAGUGGUGCGUGUACGUCCGAGGGCUGCCCGCCCGAGUACACGGGUAGACCGCAGGAGGCGUCAGGCAACUGGCGUCGUAGAUGGAUGGUCGCCCCCACGCAAGUGGGACAGAACCCGGCUUACAGGCCGGCCCGUUCG